rnacentral:lncRNA from 1 species
UAAAAUUAUAUUAUAAAAAAUGAAAUAAAAUUGUAAAAUAAAUAAAGAAUAUUUUAGAUAUUUUAAUAUUAAAAAAAAACUUUUCAAUCUCUACUCUCAAAAGCACAAAAUUUACACAUUUGCUAAUAGAGGCAAGAUGACUUAUUUAAUCUUCAAAAACUUUGCAGAAAAAAUAAUAAAAAUUUUGAAAAAUUUUGAGGAUAUCCCCGAACUAUCUCUAAAUAUGAACGAAUCUUCGGGUGUGGGGACAAAUUUGGGGAUUGUUUCUAAUUUAGAGAUAGAGGCAAGAACCAUAAUCCCUCGCCCGAACUGGCCCUAUUGCCAUCCUUUUUUUUUUUUUUUUGGUAUUUAGAGUAAUAUAAUACUUGUAAAUGGGGUUUUGAUAAGAACUUAUGAAAUUAAAUAAACACUUAUGACUAUUAGAUAAGUGAUACCUAACAGGCAAGUGUUAUUUGGUUGCAUAUUCUCUUUUAUUGAAUUUUGUCUAGUUCUAAUAAAAGGGCACGGUCCAAUUUAGAGGUUUGGGUUCGAGUCCUUCAUACGUGGGUCUACACAUGAGGUAUAAAGGAAGUUUAAGGUAGGGCCCACAUACCUCUAGCAUUUUGGUUUGGGGUGGUAAAAAUACCCGCCCGGUCUGGACUCGAAUUGUACCCAAGUGUUGUGGGUCGGGUAUUACUCGGCCCAAGUAUGAAGCUAGACCGGUCUUGAGCAUAACUAAAUAAACUCGAAACCUGGCUUGGAACCCAGAUUUUAUUAAAAAAAUUAUAAAAUAUAUAUUAUUUUAAGUAUUUAUAUUUAUUUUACUCAUCUAUUACACAUAUCUAAAUAUUUAAACACUCAAAGUUUAUAUUUUCAUGUUAAAUUUUAUUGAAAUAAAUUUAAAACUUAUAAAAUUAUAAAAAAAAUUUAAAAACUAUACAUAUAUAAUAUUAAAAAUAUAAAAUUCGGGUACUUAGAUUAAAAUCGUGCCGGGCUUAAAAAAUCCGGUUCGGGCAUGUAAAAUUACAUUUGAGCCGAGUUCAGGAAUUGCGAUACCCGAACCCGGACCUAGGUUUUGCCAACCCUAAUUUUGGUCCUAUUUGAUAUCAUGGUUACGUAUCUAUAAUAUAAAGUUACAAUAUUAAAAUGUAUGGUAAACACUUGUUAUUUUUAUUUGACAACUAAAUUGAUAUUAUCUCAAAACUUUUAUUUCUAGCUACAUUUUAUUAUUAUAUGUCAAAAUUAUUAUUUAAAAACUAUAUUUACCAUGUGUUACCAACUUUUAUAGUUUUAUUUCAUAACAAGUUACAAUUACUCUAAACACACACAAACACAACCUCGACAUUAAACAAGGUCUCAAUUACAUUCCACUACAUAUAAUGUGUUAUAUAAAUUCAGAUUUUAAAGAUUGUUAAAUAGGAAAUUAUCAGCCAUGUACCCUUAAAUGACACCCGUAUCAAACGUGUGUGAACAUUUUUCAAGUGUAUCACUCAUAUACCCUAAGUUGACAAAACACUUCUGUCGUCCACCAAUCUGUUAACUUUCGUUUGCAAGCGCUGACAUCAUAAGGGUAAUCUAGUCUUUUAAAAUUGACGAAACUUUGAUUAAAAAAAACGACAUGUUAUCCCAUUUACCUAGUAAAAAAUGCCAUGUCA